AAAUUGAGUACUGGGGUUCCAGAUAAAGUGAUGGAGGAUGCUUCCACUAAAAGUUCAAAAACUAUACAGCCAUCCGUGGAUAAAAAGAUUUGGGACAUAAGAAUAAUUACAAGUGAAGAUUUUAUAACCAAAAAAAUUAAUAAAAACAUUCCGAAAUCGGUCAAAAAGACUAUAAGCAAUGGUGAAAAUAUAUAUUUACUGCCAGAUAGUAGUGAAAAUAUUUUUAAAACACCUCAAAUUGAUUUUCAGUCUCCAAUUUUAAAGAAUUUUCCUAUUUACGGAGAAUUAAAGGAUUCU